rnacentral:rRNA from 1 species
AGCGAACGCUGGCGGCAGGCCUAACACAUGCAAGUCGAACGGAUCCUUCGGGAUUAGUGGCGGACGGGUGAGUAACACGUGGGAACGUGCCCUUUGGUUCGGAACAACUCAGGGAAACUUGAGCUAAUACCGGAUGUGCCCUUCGGGGGAAAGAUUUAUCGCCAUUGGAGCGGCCCGCGUCUGAUUAGCUAGUUGGUGAGGUAACGGCCCACCAAGGCGACGAUCAGUAGCUGGUCUGAGAGGAUGAUCAGCCACACUGGGACUGAGACACGGCCCAGACUCCUACGGGAGGCAGCAGUGGGGAAUCUUGCGCAAUGGGCGAAAGCCUGACGAAGCCAUGCCGCGUGAAUGAUGAAGGUCUUAGGAUUGUAAAAUUCUUUCAGCGGGGACGAUAAUGACGGUACCCGCAGAAGAAGCUCCGGCUAACUUCGUG